GGGACCCGUCCCGCCGCCGUCUCCGUGCGCGCGCUUUGCUGGGCUGGGGAAGCCAAGGCACAGAGUAGCAGGCCCGCUGAGCAUCUCAGUUCAUCAGAGGAGCCAUUAGAGUCUUCCUCAAGACUGAAAACAGAAGUGAGAGUGCAUCUUGAAGUGCUGCACCAGAGGAUGAGGAAAAGAUUAGUGUGUGAAAUUCUACCUACCCAAUAGUGAAGCUGCAAAGUAAGGAAGACUUGAAUGGCCUUCCAUCUUCAAAGAAGUGCCUUGAGCUCUGGAAUGCAACAAAGUGGGAGAAACCACUAAACACCAGGAAAUGUCAACAAUGAGGGGGGAAUGCAUGGGCAGGUGGAUGGAGCAUUUCUAGGCAUUUUCUCAACAAGAAAAUGGGUCUUUUUCUCGCAGAAACUAAUUUAACUGAUUUUUGAAACACAUUGAUAACAGCAUUAGCAUAAAUUUAAAUACAUGCUUACCAGGCUGUUCUUUGCUAUGUUGUUAUGCAAGUAACUUGGCUGACAAAUUAAUAAUUGUGAUUACUAAAUAAGAACUAAAUAUCCAAUAAUCUGAACACUUGGUCCUAAUAGGAAGCUUCAGGUCUUGACUUAUUAAAGCAUUAAAAAGGAUGUAAGGUCAAACUAUUUUCAGUAGCUAAACUACUUAUACUUACUUGUAGUGUAUUUCAGGCUAAACUUAAAAGAAAGGAGAAAUGCUCCCAAAUGUUUUAUGCCUAUAGUAGCAAUUGGUAGUGAAAUUUGUUCUAAGCACACAAUAUGAAAAGAGAAUAAUUAAUAAUCUAUAAUUGAUGAGCUUCAUUGUAAAUAUAAUAGGUAUUAGAUGGCAAAUUCAGCAACUAAAAAAUAGUAUUUUGUAUGCAAAUGUAAAGAGACAAACUUAUGUCUUGUACGUUUCUUUUAACCUUAACUUUCAGGAAUAAUCAUCAUCAGUACCUUGCUAAGUUUUCUUAGGCAAAAAGUCAAAAUGUUAUUCUAGUAACUCUGACUACUAUUUAUUGAAUUUCCACAAGAAGCCCCCUAAUUGGAAAUUGUCAAAGGUAAAUACGUAAAGUGUUGUUUUUAAACUUGAGAUUAUGUAUGUUAAUAUUAUUAGCUAUUAUAAAACAUAAGACAUUCAAAAAUCAACUUCAGAUUAAUCUUCUAUGUCAAGUCCUCUAAAUGUAUAUGGCACUUAAUUUAUAAUGAAAAAAAUUUUAAAGAACAAUUUCUAUGAAUAUGUACCUAUAUUUUUAGAAUAUGUCUCUUAUUUUAAAAAUAUAAUCACAAAAUAUCUUUUACUAAUUUAGCUACGAAGAAACAGUUUCAAGGAAUUGCUUUCUAUGCUGCACACAUACACACACAUACUUGUACACACACAUUCUCACACAUGCCUAUUUUCAGAAUUUUCUAAAUAGCAAUUAUUUUGUUAGAUUUAUAGUCUGUAAUGCAUGGCAUUUUUGGUACCAAAAAAUAUAUACUUUUUGUUUCCAUUUAAGUAAUUUUAGUCUAAAAGCACUUGCUAAUCAUAACAACACAGCAAAGGUUUGUUAUGUAAACAUUUUACUUUAUUAUCAGCCUUUGUUUUUCAAUACAAUGCUUUAAAAAUAUCCUCUGUUGUAUAAAGGACAUUGUUGCAAAAAGGCAGCUCAAAACUUGUCCUUCCCUUCCUUUCAUUGAUCUGUUGCCUCUUAGGCAAUAUGAACAGCUGUCUCCAGCUCACCCACAAGCAAGCUGAACAUAAUAAUAAGGUAGUGUUACUGGCCUGAAUCUAUGAAUGAUUAUACAAAGAGUGCCAGCUCUUUAUCAUUAAAGAUAAGGUAACAAAGAUAGCAUAGAGAAGAAAACUGGUUAGCAAAGCAAGCAUGUGCUUCUGCCUUUAAGAUUUAGUUAUUCCUCUGGUAACCACUGAGUUUCUCUUUCAGUUGGGUUUCCAAUAAGGUGAAGGUGCCCUCUGUAGGAGACUCCCAGUAAAUGCCGCUUUUUUAUAUUUGGGUGACAACAGGCAAGCUCUGUCCCCCACCUCCAAUUUGUAAAUAAACAAAUAAAUAAAUAAUCACAGAACUCUGUGUGAGCAGAAGCUUGAACUCUAUAAAUCUUAGAGAGAAAUUAGUAUAAAUCCCACAAUGAUCUAUGUAAAUGCGGUUGCUUUUUCAAAAUGGGAGAAAUGGAACAGUGAGCAAGCUGUACCGCAUGUUGGUAUUUAAUAUUUAUUGACACUGUGAUAUGUAAUAGGUUAGGCUUUAUAAAUUGAGAGGUGCGGCAAAAACAGAAACAUAGAUGGUCUUGGCGUAGUUGAGUGAAAAAUGGAUCUAAACAGAAAAAUCCACAUGCAGAGAGACACAUUCACCACCUAAUAAAUACACCUCCCCAAAAGGUCUUCUUAUCUUCCCUUCCUAUAAAGGUUACCAUAAUGCAGAUUCAUUAUCAGUCCCACUGGAUAGCAUAUAGCUCAGUAAGAAAUUGCUUUUGUUAGCAUGCUCAUAGAAAGAGAUUAGCUAUUUCAUCAGAUCUCUUGGGGCUAUUUGAAAUUUUGGGAAUUCUCUCUGUAAUUUAAAAUGGAAGUUAAAGCCAGUGUGAAUAGACUAGGGAAAAUCUCACAAAUUAAACCUCUCCAUCUGGAAGUUUCUUCAUCACUCAUUGCAAAAGUACAAGCUGAAAUCGCAUUUGUUACAGGCAGGAGAGAGGUUUCAUCACUGAUGAUGCAUUACAAUUAUACUAAUGUUUUAAUAAUUAAUACUUUGGUUGCAAAGAAAAAUUUAAAAUGGAAAUGAUUAACAGUGUUUUGGAUUUUUUUGUCUUUAUUAACUUUGCAUAUUACUUAGAUUUUAUCACUGAAAUCAUCUAUGUACAUUAUUUAAACUAUGACUUUAGCCUCUAUGGAAUGUGUGUAGGAGAGUCUAGAAUCACCCGUAUUACAAGUUAGGGGAUGAACAAGUGGGCAUGAAGGCAUAGAGAAGAGGGAUUAUUUGCAUCCUCUUAUCUAUCCAAAUUCAUUUAUCCUCAGUAUCUGCUCAAACAAACAUCCCCUUCUUUGUCAAUCCAUUUUCCUAUAUCAUUGGCCACUUAACCUCAACAACAAUAUUUUAGAUUACUAUGUACCAAGCACUGUGUGAGCACUGUCCUAGAUAGUUUAUGUGGAUUAUCUCAUUUAAUCCUCAUAAUACAUAAGAAAGGAAAUUUUUCUUAUCCCAGUACAUGUUCAGUUUAUUUGUGCUCUUGUCUUCCUAACACAACUGGCUGGUGAAUUCCCAGCCAGCAUUGACACAGCUAUCUGCCAUCCCACUUAUGACUGAGCAUUGCUAAAGACUCUCCCACAGUUAUGCAGAAUUGUAUCCUUAAUUACUUAUGACUCUUAGUUGAGAGCUUUAAAAUUUAAGCUAGUUUAUCUUGAAAGGGGCUGAAUAAGCUCACGUCAUCACAUCAAUAGAAGUCAGGGCUCCAGUUGGUCUCAGAGACAACUUUGAUCAGAGAGUCAAAUGUUUCCUCAUAUCAUCUCUAAUUUCUGAAGACAUGUUUGUUAGGGUGUCUUCAGUUCGUCAGUUUAGGUUCUACACAACUGGAUUCAUGGUUUCUAGAAGGAAUCAUGCACACUGCUUUUAAUUUCAGCACCCAAGGACACAAAUCCAAGGAAGAACUCUUAUUGGGUCACCUUGGAACAGGUGCAUAUUUCUGGAUGAAGAAAUUGAUCAAGGGCAUUAUCAGGUAGUGGUUAAGAAUGUGUGGAAUGCCGCUGGGCAUGGUGGCUUACACCUGCAAUCCCAACACUUUGGGAGGUGCAGGCGGGUGGAUCACAAGAUCAGGAGUUCGAGGCUAGCCUGACCAAUGUGGUGAAACCCUGUCUCUACUAAAAAUACAAAAAUCAGCCGGGCAUGGUGGUGCACGCCUGUAAUCCAGCUACUCAGAAGGUUGAGGCAGGAGAAUCACUUGAACCUGGGUGAUGGAGGUUGCAGUGAGCCAAGAUUGUACCACUGCACUCCACCCUGUGUGACAGAGUGAGACUCUGUCUCAAAAAAAAAAAAAAUGUGGAAUGUGAAACUGGAUUCCUGGAAUGUAAAACCUGGUCUAUAUGUGACUUGGGACAAGUUUUCAUCCCAGUGCCUGAAUUUUCUUAUCUGAAUAAAUGGAAAUAAUAAUUGUACCUACCUCAUUGCAUUGCUAGGAUGAUUAAAUGAGUUACUAUGCAGAGCUUAGAAUAAUGACUAGUUCUGAAUAUAUUAGCUAUCAGUGAUUAUUCAGGCCUUAGGAUUGGUUCAGCUUGGGGAAGAUGCUCACUCAGCUCAAUCAGUGUGGCCAUUGAGGCAGAGUAAUUUAAUAGCAUUGGAACUCGAAUUUGAGGGAGAUUCCUAGCAUGGGAGACUGAGAAAUUUUUCAGAAGAGACUUUUCCAGGGAAGAGUACAAUCAGGAAGAAUGUGUGAUCACAUAUAAGAAUGGAGAGCCAUUCAACCAUCUUUUUUAUGUGUCCUUAAUCAGCUCCAUUGCCCCAUCCUCUCACUGAUAACUCCAAAACUUUCUCAAACACUGAGCCCAAUUCCUUAAACAAGAGAUGGGUAUUCUCUAUUGACAGUCUUCCUAUUGCAAGAGGAAGUUUAGGUUUUCACCAUUUCUUGAUUGGACUGUUGCUAGGAUCUCUGAGCUGACUCCCUUUUCCAGUCUUUCCCUUCACCCAUCCACAUUAUUUCCAGAUUUAUAGUGGAACUUGAGGGUACCUUUUUCAAUAUAAAUCUUGAAUAUAGGACAUGCAGUCUACAUACUAAAAUGCUUCAAUGGUACCCCUUCACCUCCAGCAUGAAGUUCAAAUUAGGACUGAGCACGACCUAGAAGACUUUAUCUCUUCUGUUUUUGUAUUUGGAUACUCUCCAGGUCUAAUUUUUAUUUUGUUAUUAUUAUUUCUGCUCUGUGCCCAUUUGUUGACCUGUUUUAGAUAGCUAGCUAGCUAGCUGACAGAAAGAAAUCAAUAACUAGUUCGCUAGGGCUGCAGUAACAAAGUACUACUCACUAGGUACCUUAAGCAACAGAAAUUUGUUUUUCAAGUACUGGAGGCUAGAAGUCCAAUCUCAAGGUGUCAACAGGUUUGGUUUCUUCCGGAGGCCUCUUUCCUUGGUUUUCAGAUGGCUACUUUGCUGCUGUGUCUUCACAUGGUCUUUUUUCUGUGCAUGCCCCUGGUGUCUCUAAUAAGGACAUCAGUUAGGUUGGAUUAGGGCCCAACCUAAGGACCUUGUUUUAACGUACUUACCUCUUUAAAGGUCCUGUCUCCAAAUACAGUCACAUUUGGAGGUACUGGGGGUUAGGGAUUCAACUUACAAAUAUUGAGGGAACACAGUUCAGCUCCAAGUAUAACUUUUAUUUUAGAAAGUCUAAAGUGCUAAAUUUGUCACAUUAAAUCAUGCUACUCUUCUAGUGAAAAUACUGCAGUUGCUCCUCAUUAGACUUUGAACAGCACUUUGGUCUUUUUCUUCAUAGCAUUAUUUACAAGUUUUAAUUUUACCUUAGGUUGUUUGCUUUUUUAUUGUGUGACUACACUCACUGGUAAGAGUUCCUUUGGACCAUUUCUAUUUUAUUCUUUGUUGUAUUCUCUUUCUAGUACAGAGAUUGAAAUAUAGACAUUGCUCUGUAUUUGUUGAAUAAGAAAUGACCUACUUCAAGUGGUGUCACUAUACUACUUGCUAUUUAGUGUGUCUGGGGUUUGGUUCUGACCACAUCCUCCAAUAUUUAUUUGUUUACAUAAUACUUUUUUUACCGUUUAGGACAUCCCUCCAAGAAAGUAAUACAUAUGUACCAUGGAAUACUAUGCAGCCAUAAAAAAGAAUGAGAUUAUGUCCUUUGCAGGGACAUGGAUGGAGCUGGAGGCCAUUUUCCUUAGCAAACUAACACAGGAACAAAUACUGCAUGUUCCCACUUAUCAGGUGGAACUAAAUGAUGAAAAUACAUGAAAACAUUGUGGGGAACAUCACACACUGGGGCCUACUGGAGGGUGGAGGAUGGGAGUGGGGAGAGGAUCAGGAAAAAUAACUAAUGGGCGUUAGGCUUAAUACUUGGGUGAUGAAAUAAUCUGUGCGACAAAGCCCCAUAAUACAAGUUUCCCUAUUGUACAUGUACCUGUGAACUUAAAAGUUAAAAAAGGAAUCUCCAAACCAAUGAAAGACAUAACCAUCCCACUUCUAUGGGAUGGUCUAAUAGAUACUUACCUCUAUUUUUUAUUUAUCAUAUAUGGUAUUGGUUUUCAUUAAUUACAGGGAACAGGUAUCAAUCAUCUUUUCAUUUACAGGGUUUAGCAUAUUGCCUAAUGUAUGACAAUUCUUAAGUUGAACUUUGCUUUUUAAGAAACAGUUAGCUCACGCCUGUAAUCCCAGUACUUUGGGAGGCCGAGGCGGGUGGAUCACGAGGUCAAGAGUUCGAGACCAUCCUGGUCAACAUGGUGAAACCCCAUCUCUACUAAAAAUACAAAAAAUUAACUGGGCACGGUGGUGCAUGCUGGGAGGCUGAGGCAGGAGAAUUGCCUCCCAGCUACUCAGGAGGCUGAGGCAGGAGAAUUGCCUGAACCCAGGAGGCGGAGGUUGCGGUGAGCCGAGAUCGCGCCAUUGCACUCCAGCCUGGGUAACAAGAGCGAAACUCUGUCUCAAAAAAAAAAAAAAAAACCAGUUAAACUCCACCUGAAUGACCAGAUAAAUUUUAAAUGAAUAAAAUAUCAAAAUAUAAAUGAUUUAAAUAAUUAUAUUCUACCUCUUCUUUUAAGAACUUUCCUGAUUAUCUGUCUAAACAGUUCUUUUUUAUCAUUUAUUUUAUCUACUGUGUAGCUAUGGGUAAUCCAUUGUCUUGUAACGUCUAUUAAAAGUAUUGCCUUGAACUACUAUUUCCAUAUCUAGUCAUUUACAUUUUGAAUGAGUUUGUAUCUCAUUUUUUUAAAUCUCAUCAGCUAGAGAGUAGGGGAUUUUGCCUUAUAUAAUUACAGAAAAAGGCAUAUAUGCAUAUAAUAAGCAUUUCUUCAUUGGAUUCAAUUUGGAUAAAUCUGAAGCAUGUGUAAAUUCAGACAUUUCAAAUAUCUAGGCUACUAUAUCAGUUAGUGCUUUCUGCAUGAACAUACAAUCGAGAACUUAGUGGCUUAAAAAAAUCACAUUUGAUAUAGCUGAUUCUUUUGUGGAAGGUCAGGGAUGAUUCUUCUCAUCUGGAUCAGCUCAGCUAGUUUGUGUUUUCUGUGAUUGCUUCAUGAUUUGUCUGGUCAUUAGCAGAUUGCCAUGAUAACUGGGCUAGGUUUUCACCAGGCAGUUGUGUUGGUUGUGAAUCUUGCAUGUGUGGACAUAUGCCGCACAUUCUCUAGGUGCUGUGGACUGAGUUGUGGCCCCUCCCCCAAAUUCUUAUGCUGAAACAUUAACCUUCAAUGUGACUGUAUUGAGAAAUAGGGCUUUUAGGAGGGAAAGUUAAAUGUGAUCAUAAAGAUAGGGUCCUAAUCCAAUACAAUUGGUAGAUUUAUAACAAGAGGAAGAGAUUCUCUCUUUCUGUCUCUGUUUCUCUCUCUCUCUCUCUCUCUCUCUCUCUCUAUUUCUCUCUGUCUCUGUCUCUCUUGCAUGCACCAAGGGAGGCCAUGUGAGAAUUCAGUGAGACAACCAUCUGCAGUCAGGAAGAGAGCCCUCAUUAGAAACCCAGUUGGCAGUCACCUUGGUCUUGGACUUUCCUUCCUUCAGAACUGUGAGAAAUCAAUUUCUGUUAAGUUGCUGAUAUUUUGUUAGGGCAGGCAGAGCAGACUAAGACACCAGGGUAUAUACCUAACACUGGACUUGAUAAUGAGGUCUGCACAUUUUCAAACUUCUUAGAUAGAGUCAAGUGGUUUCUAAAUUGUUUCAAAAGUUGUUACACAUUGUUUCUAACUUCUGAUAUUAUAAAACUUUUGAAAUUUUGCAGACAGGGGAAUAUGAAAUGGAAGCCAACUGAAACUUUAAUUUAUAUUACCUUAUUACGAAGAUUGAUAUAUAUAUUUUUUCCUAUGCUGUUUGGCUAUUUGAAUUUUCCUCUUCAGUCAAGUGUCUGCUCUUUUGUUCAUGAUAAAUUAAGUUACCAUUUAUGUUUUCUUUUUGAUGUACAGAAUUUAUGUAUUCUGAAUAUGUUAAAAAUAUAUUCCAUCAGUGUGUGGUCUGUAUUUUCACAUUAUUUAUGAUAGUUUUUGAUGAGCAAAAGUUCUUUAUUUAAUAUAGUCAAAUUCCAAUUUUUCCUGAAUAGAUUUCUCUGUUUGAGGCUUGCAUAAUAAAUUUUCAUAUCCUAAGAACAUAACCUCAUUCUCCAGAUAAUUUUUUUUAAUUUUGCUUUUUUUUCUUUAUAUGUUUAACUCUUUAAUACUCUGGGAAUUGCGAGGUUUAACAGCAGAGAUGGAGGGGUAGAGGGAGGAAGGAAAAGGGUGUUUGUUGCUGCUGGCAUCUAGUGGGUACAGGGCAAGGAUGCUGCUAAGCAUCUUACAGUGCACAGGACAAUCCCACAUAAUGAAGAAUUAUCCACAUCAAAACAUCAUGAAGCUGAGGAAUCCUUGGAGUAGUCGUUUGUGUAGUACAGCCGUAAUCAGUAUUCUUACAUUCUUUAUGUGUGCUUAAAAAGAAAGCAUAUCCAACAAUUGCAAGUAUGAUUGGUUUCUGUAUUCUACGUGCUUCUUUUAGUUAACCUUAUUAAUUUUGUGGUUCAAAGAUUUCAUAAUCUAACUGAUUUUUUUGACUACAUGAUUUAUCAUUAUGGAGAGAGCUGUGCUAAAAUCUCUGUGUGUGUGGAUUAGUCUAGCCCCUCAUAGUUCUGUCAACUCUUGCUUUAAAUAAUUUGAAGCUCUAUUUUGAGGUAAUACAAGGGGAGACUGCAUAUGUCUUUCUGGUGAAUUGAACUGUUUAUCAUUUUAAGUGGCUACUGUUUUCUGUAAUACGUUUUUAAUUGAUUUUGUCUAAUACAUCUUUAUAAACACAGUUGACAUUUUAUAUUUUAAUAUUAAUUUGUUAUAACCUUAUUAUAUGUUUAUGUUUUCAAUGUACUUACAUUUUAGAAUAUCUUUUGUAAGCAACAUGGAACUCUAUUUUGUUUUAAUUAAUUAAUUAAUUGAUUUAGAGACAGGAUCUCACUCUGUUGCCCAGACUGGAAUGCAGUGGAGCAAUCAUGGCUCACUGCAGCCUUGACUUUCCAGGCUCAGGUGAUCUUCCCACCUCAGUCCCCGCAAGUAGCUGGGACAACAGGGCAUACCAUUAUGACCAGCUAAUUUCUUUGUAUUUUUUUUAGAAUGGGAUUUCACCAUGUUUUCUAGUCUGGUCCCAGACUGUUGGGCUCAAGUGAUCAACCCUCCUUGUCCUCCCAAAGUGUUGGGAUUAUGAGUGUGAACCACCGCAUCUGGCCUUCCUUUUAUUUAAAGCCCAGUUGCAUAGUCUUUGUGAUUUAAAUGGGUCACAUAGUCCAUUUACAUGUAUUGAAAUCAUGAAUAUUUUUGUAUUUACAUCUAUUAUCUUAUUUUGUGGUUUUAUUGGUACCACCCUUUAUGUUUUGUAGUUUCUUCCCUUGCCUUUUAAUAUUGACUCAUGACUCACCUGAAUCAUCCACCACUGUGAUGGCCACCAGAUGGUGUUCACCUGUUUCUGUUUUUCUUUCUACAUUUACAAGUUGUUAUUUUAUUGUAAGAAGAAGUUUUUUCUUCUAUUGAAAUCAAUACUUUGUUUAUUUAAAGUAUUGUAUUACCUUUAUUAUUCUUUUUUUUCCUGUUGAUAUUGGCCCAAAUUUGUUGUUCAGUUGGAGUCUGUUCCAUCUGGCUCCUGCCAUUUUGGCAUACCCAGGUCAUUCUUAGGGAGUUUCUUAGUUUCUGGCUCAGAGUCCAGGUUCCUUUUGUGCUUCUCAUGCCAUGGUCUUGGAAUCAGCCAUUUCUCCAAAGAACCUGGUUCUUUUUUUUGAAAGAUUAUCAGAACCAAUAUCAGGACCAAGAGUCAAACACAUUAGUAGAAUUUAAGAAUAUAUUCAACAAAAUAGAGUUACAAAAAAUGUAUUAGAGAAAGUGAAAAUCACUUAAAAAUCAUCUAGUGAAAAUACUUUUCACUAGAAAAGACUUAAGAAACCAAGAUUAGGUAUGCUCAUUGCUACAUGUACUUCAUAGCUUCUAGGUCCUGUUAGUAAACA